rnacentral:tRNA from 1 species
UCCGUGGUGGUCCAGUGGUUGAGACUCUGUGCUUCCAAGGCAGGGGGCACAGGUUCGAUCCCUGAUCGAGGAG